CUCUUCCGAUCUGCUAGAUCAGAUAUGAUCUCUUUAAAUUCUGAAAUAUGAUUCAAAACAUUACCUCCCUCAGGUAACCUGUGCAGGAAUCAUUUUUGUUUCAGAUGCAUCUUGCUGGUGAGAUCUUUAGUCAUGCAAAUCCCUUUCAGCUUUAACCAUAGAGCAGCGGCAGUUUUCUCGCUCAAAACUUCCUGCAAAAUAUUAUUAUGCAAAUGGAGUUGAAUUUGUGGCAAAGCCUUACAAUCAAUUCUUUUCUCAUCAGCAGUCCAGUCCUCAAUUCGGUUCUUCCCAAAACUAUCCAGUGCUACAUCAUAGUCGGCCUGUGCCAACA